CCCCUUGGCUCCGCUCCCCCCGAGUCCCCUGCUGGCCCCUCCUGCUCUGAGGGACACCUGUCUCUCCAGUGCUGGUGGCUCCUCACAAGAGCUAUGCUCCUGCCACCCGGUGCCGAGCUGGAGGCGGGAGCAGUUGUGAUGGCUGCUGGCCCCGCCGUAGCAGCCUCCAAACACAGGUAGUUCCACAGCUGGGGGAAAAGCUGCUUCAUACAUUCCAAAAGUUUCUAGAACAUGGACAAUAGAGGGUUUGUCUCCAAUCAGCUUUUGUUUCCUGCCAUUCAAGCUGCGUGGGCCUCGGUAUUUCUUGCCACGGCUCUCCAUCACACACGUUUCCAACUCGUGCUGGGCCCAGGAGAAAGCAGCACAGGAGAGCAAACCAGAGAUAAAGAGCUAAGAGUCCACUGUGGGGACUUGUUCCUGAGCCUCCUUAAGCUCAAGUUCUUAAGAGAAGGACUGUUCCAGAGCAGCACAGUGAAGCAGUUAGGGGAGGGGG